rfam:Parcubacteria (Magasanikbacteria) bacterium GW2011_GWC2_45_8 TX20_C0014, whole genome shotgun sequence.
GGGGAUGCCGGGCUUCGCCUAGGAUUCUUAACACAUUUCGCAUACCGAGCGUGUGGGACUAGCUCGUUAAACUCACUUCCCACGGCACUUAUAGAUGCCAACAUCUUUUCAAGCGUGAAGAACGCCAUUGCGAAAGCAUUUGCCGUUCCUCAAUACGCUUUAGCAGUAGCCUAGCGCAACUGUUCAUCUGUACGUUUGAUGCUCAAUAAAACGGUUACAGGUGUUAUAAUCAUUGAGCUCGCCAAUGUCUCUAGCUUUCUGGACAAUGGUCAAAUCCAUGAAAGAUCGGCGUACGUCAUUUUGUCUGCUUUUAGACUCGCGCGCUCAAAACCCAAAGCGGACCAGUAUGGAGCAUAAAUGUGUGGGAACUCUUAACACGGGGGUUCAACUCCCCCCAUCUCCACCA